ensembl:lncRNA
UACAACCCAGAGCACGAUGCAUCAUCUUCAGAUGAAGAAGAAGAUGGGGAAGAAUACAACCCAGAGCACGAUGCAUCAUCUUCAGAUGAAGAAGAAAUCACCCAAGCUGAAAGAGAGACAUUUUUGUCAAAGAGCAGCAAAAAUAAUAUGGUCCUUGUCACCAUAUGACAACCAGGGCAGGAUGGGAGCACAAAAUGUCAUAAGGACGACCCCAGGGCCCACAAGACAUGCAGUUGCCCAUGUCCAGGACAUCGCCUCAACAUUCUACAUGUUCAUCACACCAGCCAUCGAAAAAAAUCAUCCUGGAGAUGACAAAUUUGGAGAGUUUCAUGGAUACAACUGGAAAAGGAUGGAACAGAUUGACCUGCUAAUCUUAGCAGGUGUGUAUAGGUCCCGAGGCGAGGCUACGUGUAAUCUACAUGUAGUCUCUGGGAUACAGAGAGUGGAAAAGAGUGGAAGGGCAAUUUUCCGUGCCACGAUGCCACUGAAAGUCUUUCACACUUUCUCAAGAAUGCUACGAUUUGAUAACCAUGUGUCAAGAACUGCAAGACGUGUGAGAGACAAACUGGUCUGGGAGAAGACAAAGAGGUCUGGGAGAAGUGGGUGGAGCAUCUGCCAUACCUCUAAAACCCUGAGCCUGAAGUAACAGUGGAUGAGAAACUGGUUCCAUUCAGAGGUCGCUGUCCUUUCCGGCAGUAUAUGCUCAGCAAGCCAGCAAAGUAUGGCAUCAAGACAUGGGUGGCCUGUGAAGCACAAACCAGCUACGCUUGGAAGAUGCAAGUCUACACAGGGAAGCCGACCAGUGGAGGCCCGGAGAAGAACCAGAGGAUGAGGGUUGUGCUUGAUAUGACAGAUGGACUGAGGGGGCACAAUGUCACGUGACAAUUUCUUCACCUCUUAUGAACUCAGCCAGCAGCUCCUGAAGAGGAAGAUCACCAUGGUUGGCACAGUUAGAAAGAACAAGCCUGAGCUCCCCUCUGCACUCCUCGAAACAAGGGGGAGAGAGGCCUUCUCAUCAAAGUUUGCCUUCACCCCCACCACCACUCUAGUCUCUUACCUCCCAAAGAGGAACAAGAGUGUGGUCCUCCUGAGCACACUGUACAAAACGGCUGAGUUCAGUGAUCGUGAGGACAGGAAGCCAGCCAUCAUCCUGGGCUACAACCACAACAAAGGAGGCGUGGACAACCUGGACAAGGUGAUUGGAACUUACAGCUGCAGGAGGGUGACUGCCCGCUGGCCCCUGGUCAUCUUCCAUAACAUCGUUGAUGUGUCCUCAUACAAUGCCUUUGUUAUAUGGAACAAGAUCAACCCUACCUGGAUGCCUGAUAAGCAGAACAAGAGGAGGGUGUUCCUGGAGCAGCUGGGAAAGGCACUUGUAACCCCACACAUUCAAAGAAGGGAGUGUCUCCCCCGCACACCAGCCUCUGCAGCACUUGUGAAAGCUGUUCAGGGGGCUGAAUCUUGUCCUGAUCCAUCUGAGGCUGCAGCUGGGGCAGGCAAGAGGAGGAGAUGCCAAUUCUGACCCCAAAGAAGGACUGUAAAACAAACACUAUGUGCUGCACAUGUGAGAAAUACAGUGGGACAAAAAAGUAUUUAGUCAGCCACCAAUUGUGC